ensembl:lncRNA NUDT16L2P nudix hydrolase 16 like 2, pseudogene
GGUCCGAGGUGAGAUUCGCCCUUGUGCCCUCGUAGGCCUUCGGAACAGCGGAAGAGCAGUGUCGGGCCAUGGCCAGGGCCCGCAGGCUGGAGCUGGCCGAGGCCCUGGCGCUGGGGCCAGGCUAGAGGCAUGCCUGCUAUGCGCUCCUGCACGCGCCGGACCCUGGAAUUCUCUCUGGCCGCCUCCCUCUGCGCUACGCCAUACUGGUGAGGAGGGCGCGCGCCCGGCCACUCUCCGCUCUGGCCUUGCACCUUCCUUGCGGCGCUACUCUCGGGUGUCCCUGCCAAUCCCAGCUUCCUCCUCUCUCAGAUGCAGAUGCGCUUUGAUGGGCGCCUGGGCUUCCCUGGCGGAUUCGUGGACUCGCAAGACAGCAGCCUGGAGGACGGGCUGAACCGUGGUCUGCUGGAACUGCUGGGCGAGGCGGCGGCCGCCUUCCGCGUGGAGCGCCCUGACUACCGCAGCUCUCACGCCGGAUCAAGGCCACGUGUUGUGGCCCACUUCUAUGCCAAAUCUCUGACGCUCGAGCAGCUGUUGGCUGUGGAGGCCAGCGCAACAGGGGCCAAGGACCACGGGCUGGAGGUGGGGCCAGUCUGGGACCCUGCCCCAUAUCUUAUUCCUUUUCCUUCCAUGUCUUCCUUUGCCUCAGCAACUCUUUUUGGAUUGAGGUCCCCGUCUGUCAGAACUUGCCCUCUUCCCCAUUUUCUUGGUGGAGUUGGGAUCUUGGUCUUCUCUUAUUGAAUGGUGCUGGGCCUGGUGUGAGUGCCCCUGUACCCUGCAUGAUGGUGUGGGAGGCCUGCCCAUCUUUCUGGAGAAUUGCUUUAUUGGUGCUGCCUGGGAGCAGUUACUGGAUACCCUCCAGGACUUGGGAGUGGUGGAAGCUGGUGCUUUCUCAGGACUUCAGAUCCCAGUUCGUCUGAGGCAACCCUCUGUGGACUCAGGGAACCUGAGCUGAGGACUUUGGUACAAGGAAGGGAAUGUUUUCUCUUCCGGACCUAAAGACGAUACCAAAUUAAAAGAAGACAUGUAUAUCAUAUGUUUUGAGCAGAGGACCCUCCAAUUCAUGGGAUCAGGGGCAAAAAUCCACAGCUCAUCCCAGGGGCCCUGGCAGGUUCUCAGAGCCUACCUCUUCCUUGUAUAUUUGCAUACAGCCUGGUAACCCCCAGGCAUGCAUAUGUACAAUGUGACCACACACAGCCUGACAUCUUUCACCUGUCAAGUCCAAUUUAACCAGGAAUUGGCAUUUGUUACCAUACCCUGCCUCUUGCUUUGCAGAGAGCUUCUACAGCAAGGCUGAGUCCUUCCCACAGUCCUCCAUGCCUGCUCUUUAGGGUCUACCCCAGCCCAUGUUUUUUGGGAAGGAUAGAGAAGCAGAGGACCCUCUUUGCUUUCCUGAAAGUAGCCAUGCCCUUGCUGGAGGGUUCACCACAGCAAUUGGUGGGAAAGGGUCUUAACCAAUCUCCAACACUUUUCUUCUCCUGAAACUGAGAAGGGGUAAGGAAGUAGCUAGGUCCCCUUGGACGGAGCAUGGACAUGAGACCUGUGAGUACUGGUGUCUCUCCUUCAGAGCUUUCAUCUUUGGUUCGCUGUAGACUCUGGGACUAUCAGAAGAGAACUGACCCAUACCUGUCUAGCCCUGCCCUUCCAAAAAAAGAGCCUCCCAUUAAAGAGGAGUUAGAGCUGGGCCUUGAGGCUCUUCACUUCUUUCAACAGAUAUUUAAUAUGUACCUACUAAAUGCCAGGUACUAUAAAAGGUAUAGAGAGCCAUCCUUGCUCUCCAAGACUCCAGGGAAGGGAUGGGCAAACAUUUUCUUAAAAGCCAGAUAGCAAAUACUUUAAGCUUUGUAAACUACAUAGUUUUUUAAAAAAUAUUUUCUAACAUUGACUAAUAAAAAUUGCCUAUGUUUACUGUGUACAAAA